rnacentral:sRNA from 1 species
GAUUGUUCACAGUCAGUACAGAUUGAAGUCCUUGUUCUACUCUUUCCCCCCUUCUCACUACUGCACUUGACUAGUCUUUA